GCCGUGGUAGCUCAACGGCAAGGGCUUCUAGCUCCUGACCAGAAGGUCCCGGGUUCAAUCCCAGGUAGGGGCA
rnacentral:tRNA from 1 species